rnacentral:misc_RNA from 1 species
UUAAAUCUUGAGCUUUCAUAAGUAAUCUGUAGCUCGACCUGACUUAUCUUAAUAUUGUGAAACUCCAUGACUUUUCGAGGUCGGGAUCUCUUCUCUUCAUUUGAUUUACCAAUCUUUUUUCCUUCAUGGGAUGAACGACCAGACUUUACAAGCUUGGACUCUUUCGAUUUACUUUUAGAGGAUUCAUAUGGUUGUUCAUUAAAACCAAGUGGGUCGGCUUUUGAAGUAGAAAUACUGGAUGAAUGAACCUGCAAGACAAGUUCGGUAGCAACAGAUUCUGCAAGUGUCUCUUCCCAUGUUCUGUCAAAAGAUGAGGUUCUUCUCAACUCUGGGCCUGAACCAACAAUGAGUUUGGAUGUGACAUCAGAAUCUUUUGUUGCAUGGCUGUAUGAUGAAGAAGCUUCUUGGAUUGAUGAACCUUUCUUUACACGCCUUGCGCCAGCAGUUGUUGAAACUUUCCAAACUUCCUGCCGCCUUUGUGAAUCUUGUUCUUCUUCUGGGAAGAAAUACUCCCACAUCAUCCUGUACAUCGUCUCUGUCAAAUGAAUCUUAAGGGGAUAAAUCUCUACCUGGAAGAGUUCAAUAUGGGAAUUUCCAUCCCUUGGAGCUCCUUGCUUUGCAUCUACACGAAGCAUGACUUUCUUCCCCCAAUCUGGUGGAGGAUUCCACGCUGACAGAACCAUAUCAGACUUGGCAUUUGGCAGGCAGUUUCUCACAACAAAAUAUUUUGUUGUAAAUAGAGCAACACCGACAUCCUUGUAAUCCCGGUCAAAAUCAAAGAUCAUGUCAUUUAUCUCAGCCUCAGCAAAAGAUUUACCAUCUACAAGCAUGUUCCAAACAACUUUGUUGAUUUUCAAAGAUAUACGCAUUGCAUAGGAUGGACUUUUGUUCUUCUCCUUCUCCAUCAGACGUAGCUGGGCAGCUUUCUGCAAAGCCAUCCUUAAUGAUGCAGAUGCUGCCUUCCUAAACCUUUUUGCAUUCACAAGCUCUCUCUUCAGCCCUUGUACCAGAUUGGAUCUUCCACCAGUGAUCAUCCACAAUUCGCCUUCCUUUCUUGAAAGGUCCCCAGAAGUAUCACCAUUAAGAGACAAUCUCCUGAUGUCAUCAAGAAGUAACUUCUGCUCACGUUCUUUCCGUUCAAGUUCGAUUUUAGCAAGUUCAACCUCUUCUACACCAUCAGGCACCAUCUCAUCCGCCUCCUCUUCAACAUCUUCAUCAUCUUCAGCUGGAAAUGACAGACUACUCUUUCUAGGCUUGGGAAGCCGUGCAAAAAGGAGAUUGGUCAACACAUAACCUGAAACUGACGAGAUGUCAUUGUAGCAGUUAUAUUAUCUGUAUUGAAAGUGAGCUCUUUUAGAGGCUUCACCUUCAGGUCUGGAGUCCCGCCUUUGUGCCUUGUG